rnacentral:rRNA from 1 species
GAUGAACGCUGGCGGCGUGCCUAAUACAUGCAAGUCGAGCGAACGGACGAGAAGCUUGCUUCUCUGAUGUUAGCGGCGGACGGGUGAGUAACACGUGGAUAACCUACCUAUAAGACUGGGAUAACUUCGGGAAACCGGAGCUAAUACCGGAUAAUAUUUUGAACCGCAUGGUUCAAAAGUGAAAGACGGUCUUGCUGUCACUUAUAGAUGGAUCCGCGCUGCAUUAGCUAGUUGGUAAGGUAACGGCUUACCAAGGCAACGAUGCAUAGCCGACCUGAGAGGGUGAUCGGCCACACUGGAACUGAGACACGGUCCAGACUCCUACGGGAGGCAGCAGUAGGGAAUCUUCCGCAAUGGGCGAAAGCCUGACGGAGCGACGCCGCGUGAGUGAUGAAGGUCUUCGGAUCGUAAAACUCUGUUAUCAGGGAAGAACAUAUGUGUAAGUAACUGUGCACAUCUUGACGGUACCUAAUCAGAAAGCCACGGCUAACUACGUG